rnacentral:rRNA from 1 species
GGCCUACCAUGGUGGUAACGGGUAACGGGGUGUUAGGGCACGACACCGGAGAGGGAGCCUGAGAAACGGCUACCACAUCCAAGGAUGGCAGCAGGCGCGCAAAUUACCCAAUCCCGACACGGGGAGGUAGUGACAAUAAAUAACAAUACGGGGUUCUUUAGGAUCUCGUAAUUGGAAUGAGUACAAUUUAAAUCUCUUAACGAGGAACAAUUGGAGGGCAAGUCUGGUGCCAGCAGCCGCGGUAAUUCCAGCUCCAAUAGCGUAUAUUAAAGUUGUUGCAGUUAAAAAGCUCGUAGUUGAAUUUCGGGGUUAGUAGGUUGGUCAUGCCUCUGGUAUGUACUGGUCUCACUGAUUCCUCCUUCCUGAUGAGCUGUAAUGCCAUUAAUUUGGUGUUGCGGGGAAUUUGGACUGUUACUUUGAAAAAAUUAGAGUGUUUAAAGCAAGCUAACGCUUGAAUACAUUAGCAUGGAAUAAUGAAAUAGGACGUUCGAUCCUAUUUUGUUGGUUUCUAGGAUUGACGUAAUGAUUAAUAGGGAUAGUUGGGGGCAUUAGUAUUCAAUUGUCAGAGGUGAAAUUCUUGGAUUUAUUGAAGACUAACUACUGCGAAAGCAUUUGCCAAGGAUGUUUUCAUUAAUCAAGAACGAAAGUUAGGGGAUCGAAGACGAUCAGAUACCGUCGUAGUCUUAACCAUAAACUAUGCCGACUAGGGAUCGGAUGAUGUUAAUUUUUUAAUGACUCAUUCGGCGCCUUACG